CCUCGGGAGGCAGCAGUAGGGAAUAUUGCGCAAUGGGGGCAACCCUGACGCAGCAAUGCCGCGUGAGUGAAGAAGGCCUUCGGGUCGUAAAGCUCUUUAAUGGGGGAAGAUGAUGACGGUACCCCAUGAAUAAGCACCGGCUAACUACGUGCCAGCAGCCGCGGUAAUACGUAGGGUGCGAGCGUUGUUCGGAAUUACUGGGCGUAAAGGGCGUGCAGGCGGAUUGGCAAGCCGGAGGUGAAAGCCCGGGGCUCAACCCCGGAGGGUCUUUCGGAACUGCCAGUCUUGAGAGGGUCAGGGGCCAGCGGAAUUCCUGGUGUAGAGGUGAAAUUCGUAGAGAUCAGGAGGAACACCGGCGGCGAAAGCGGCUGGCUGGGGCCACUCUGACGCUGAGGCGCGAAAGCGUGGGGAGCAAACAGGAUUAGAUACCCUGGUAGUCCACGCCGUAAACGAUGGGCACUAAGCGUCCGACGGGUUCGACCCUGUUGGGUGCUGCAGUUAACGCGUUAAGUGCCCCGCCUGGGGAGUACGGUCGCAAGACUAAAACUCAAAUGAAUUGACGG
rnacentral:rRNA from 1 species